UACAGAGGUCCCGAGCGUUGUUCGGAUUCACUGGGCGUAAAGGGUGCGUAGGUGGUGGGGUAAGUCGGAUGUGAAAGCUCGGAGCUCAACUCCGAAAUGGCAUUGGAAACUACCCUGCUGGAGGUUUGGAGGGGGGACUGGAAUACUUGGUGUAGCAGUGAAAUGCGUAGAUAUCAAGUGGAACACCAGUGGCGAAGGCGAGUCCCUGGACAAAACCUGACACUGAGGCACGAAAGCUAGGGGAGCAAACAGG
rnacentral:rRNA from 1 species